UUUUAUUGUGCCAUUUCGGGGCAACGGGUGGGCAAUUAUAGUGUCAGCUGCCGCACGCUGCUGCCGCUGCGUCACCGUACCGCCUGUAUGUGUCAAUUAUUGGUGCCGGCCACCAUCAGGAGGCGUGUACCGUUGCCAUUUUUAUCGAUUCUGUAAAACUGUCGUUGCCGCACGAAAUCAAUUAACGCGCUUUUUUUUCGUCCUUCCUCCACUAAGUGUGAGCGUGUUCGGGUGUGUGUGCGCUGUUGGGUUUACUAUUUCAACGCGUUUUUUAUAUAAACAGCUUUUCAGGCAGCCGCUUUCAUCGUUGUUUAUCAGAAAUUUCCCGCUGUCCGCAAAUGGUUUGCUAUUUUCGGCAUCAAAUUGGCUUUGUUGGCUGCGUGGAAAGUGAAAACAGAGACUGAAGGACAAACAUUACGCUCGCAAAGAAAAACAAAUUUAACGUAAUUCUCAGGAAGAAGAAGGAGGCGCAGUAAACAGUGGACAGAUAUGCGGAAAAGUAGAUUUAAGUAGAAUAAGUAGAGCCAGAGGCGGAAAAAUCUUGCUAAAAGGUAGUAGACUAGUAGUAGUUGGCAUUGCUGUUGUUUUUGUAGUGGUUAUAGAAAUAAAUGUGUAUUUAUAGAAUGAUUCUA
rnacentral:lncRNA from 1 species